rnacentral:rRNA from 1 species
GACGAACGCUGGCGGCGUGCUUAACACAUGCAAGUCGAACGAAGAGCGAUGGAAGCUUGCUUCUAUCAAUCUUAGUGGCGAACGGGUGAGUAACGCGUAAUCAACCUGCCCUUCAGAGGGGGACAACAGUUGGAAACGACUGCUAAUACCGCAUACGAUCUAAUCUCGGCAUCGAGGAUAGAUGAAAGGUGGCCUCUACAUGUAAGCUAUCACUGAAGGAGGGGAUUGCGUCUGAUUAGCUAGUUGGAGGGGUAACGGCCCACCAAGGCGAUGAUCAGUAGCCGGUCUGAGGGGAUGAACGGCCACAUUGGGACUGAGACACGGCCCAGACUCCUACGGGAGGCAGCAGUGGGGAAUCUUCCGCAAUGGACGAAAGUCUGACGGAGCAACGCCGCGUGAGUGAUGACGGCCUUCGGGUUGUAAAGCUCUGUUAAUCGGGACGAAAGGCCUUCUUGCGAAUAGUGAGAAGGAUUGACGGUACCGGAAUAGAAAGCCACGGCUAACUACGUG